rnacentral:rRNA from 1 species
UGUUUGGAGAGUUUGAUCCUGGCUCAGGACGAACGCUGGCGGCGUGCUUAACACAUGCAAGUCGAACGGUGAAGGGAUCAGCUUGCUGGUUCUGGAUGAGUGGCGAACGGGUGAGUAACACGUGAGUAACCUGCCCCCUUCUUCUGGAUAACCGCAUGAAAGUGUGGCUAAUACGGGAUAUUCUGGGUCUGUCGCAUGGCGGGCCCGGGAAAGAUAUUGCUU